rnacentral:misc_RNA from 1 species
GUUUCUAUGAUUACUUUUACAAAAAUAAUCCAAAAAGAUGCAUUCCUGAGCACCAUUCAAAAUGUGUGAUAUUGGCAGAAUACAUAGGACACCCUGCUGCUUUCUCCCUUGGUAAAAAGGGAGUGAGAGGGCGGCCUACAGGAUGUGCACAAGGGGUGUGAUGGAAAUCGUGAAUUGUUUUGGAGAGUGCACAUUGCCCCCCACAAGAAGAGGCCAGCAACAUCCCCAAAUCACUUCAGUAAUGAUCCUUCCGCAGGUUCACCUACGGAAA